rnacentral:rRNA from 1 species
GACGAACGCUGGCGGCGUGCUUAACACAUGCAAGUCGAACGGAAAGGCCCUGCUUUUGUGGGGUGCUCGAGUGGCGAACGGGUGAGUAACACGUGUGUAACCUGCCCUUGACUUUGGGAUAACUUCAGGAAACUGGGGCUCAUACCGGGGAGGAUCUCUUGCUGCAUGGUGGGGGUUGGAAAGAUUCGGCGGUUGGGGAUGGACUCGCGGCUUAUGAGCUUGUUGGUGGGGUAGUGGCUUACCAAGGCUUUGAGGGGUCGCCGGCCUGGGAGGGUGACCGGCGACCAGACACCUGGGAUACGACCCAGACGCGAAUGGGAGGCAGCGGUGGGGAGGAUUACACAACGGGCGGGAGCCAGAUGUGACAAAGCCGCGAGCGGGAAGCCGUGAUGCGGGUUAUAAACCAAUUUUUACUGAGACGAGAAGUUAGUGACGGUAACGGGUGAAGAAGCACCGGCUAACUACGUG